GACUGCUUGGCGCAAUGGUAGCGCGCGGUCCUCCUAUAAGUAGCGUUUACCGCUAUGUAUAGGUAGUGAAAGACUGAGGUUGCGGGUUCGAGUCCCGUGGUGGUCG